UAGGCGGCUGUGGCUCAGUAGGAAGAGUAGUUGUCUUGCAAUCAGAAGGUUGUGGGUUCGAUUCCAGCUUCCUCCUGCCUAA